rnacentral:rRNA from 1 species
CAGCCGCCACGGUAAUACAGAGGGUGCGAGCGUUAAUCGGAUUUACUGGGCGUAAAGCGUGCGUAGGCGGCUUCUUAAGUCGGAUGUGAAAUUCCUGAGCUUAACUUAGGAAUUGCAUUCGAUACUGGGAAGCUAGAGUAUGGGAGAGGAUGGUAGAAUUCCAGGUGUAGCGGUGAAAUGCGUAGAGAUCUGGAGGAAUACCGAUGGCGAAGGCAGCCAUCUGGCCUAAUACUGACGCUGAGGUACGAAAGCAUGGGGAGCAAACAGGAUUAGAUACCCCAGUAGUCCCUGUCUCUUAUAC